AGUGCUCAGCUUCCACAUUGACUCUCCGGUCCCGUGGAUUUCCUCCCUCCUUGUCUGUCUCUCUCUGCUCCCGUUCAGAACACCUGAGGCUCACCUCUGUCCUCACCUGCCUGUCCGUCUCCUCCGUCCGAGGAACCUAGAAAGCAAAACCGAUCACUGCUCACCCAGUCCACCAGCAGGCAGCCAACCACCGGAGCUGUAGAUGCUCCCCGCUCCUCCUCCUUCGCCUCCCUCGCUUCAUAAACGAGGAUCCAGUCCAGAUUUUGUGUGGCUCUCCUGCAGAAAAGUCACUCGUUUGAACGCUGCGUUUGCUUCUUGUCUCUUUACUGAAGAAAAGUUUGACUCAAGCAGAGAAGCUGCAUGGAAACCAAGAUGGGGAAAACCUUGGAGCCCAUGCUGGGCUUAUUGUUGCUGAACUUACUCUUCUGCUGUGGACA